GAUUAUUUUCCCACUUCACAAACACAUCUCAGAAUCAUAGGUGUUUUCACAUACGAUUCCGAGUUCACCUCCGUCAUCCCCCCCCCCCAUUAGGUUGUACAAUGCCUUUGUUCUUGAUGCUGACAGCCUCAUCCCCAAGAUUGCACCAUAGGCAGUGAAGAGCACUGAAAUCCUUGAAGGAGAUGGCGGAGUUGGAACCAUUAAGAAGAUCAACUUCGGCGAAGGUAGCACAUACAGCUAUGUCAAGCACAGAAUCGAUGGAGUUGACAAGGACAACGUUGUGUACAAAUACAGUGUGAUUGAGGGAGAUGCUAUCUCCGAAACAAUUGAGAAAAUUUGCUACGAGACUAAGUUGGUGGCUUCCGGCAAUGGUUGUGUCAUCAAGAGUACCAGCCACUACCACACUAAGGGAGAUGUUGAGAUCAAGGAGGAGCAUGUUAAGGUUGGCAAAGAGAAGGCCUCCCACCUCUUCAAGCUGAUUGAGAACUACCUCUUGGAGCACCAGGAUGCCUACAACUAAACAUUAUCUGCUGCUACAUUCAUGUGUUAUUUAGUCUCGUGUCAUCUUUGCCAUCAAAUAUUGUUGUGGUUUUAAUCCGUUUUAUAUAUCUUUUUCCCUUCCAAAACAGAGUUUGGCUUGUACGUAAUUGAAGGUUUUGAUUGAAGAUUGAAUAGCGGAUCUGAUUAUUCAUGCAUGUUGUUGUUGUUCUUGUUUUUUUUUUUUUUUUUUUUUUUUUAAUGCAAAAUUGUAGUUACUAAUGUUAAGUUCCAUUUUCCUAACUGCUUUAGUUUACUUAACACAUGAGAAGCGACAUUUCAAUUACCAGCAAAUCAUAAUAAUUGAAUAACAUUUGAAUCUCUACCACAUAAUAGCAUAAAGUGAUGAAAUGAAAACUCUGAUUUCGUUUUCCUUGUAAACCAUUUGGUAAUUCAUACCAUAAAUACGCCCAUGAGUUAAACAUACCCAUGAUGAUGAUUUAAGAGCUUGCCUCAUCUGUCAUGACUCAUCUUCAUCCGCGGCUCUUGCUUCUUGCACACGAAUUUUCUUAGCUAAUCUUAUUUUCGAUUUUUAAAUUAAUGUACAUCACGCCAUACAUGUUAGGUCUGCUAUCCUAACGUGUGAUUUUAUUUUUAUAUUUCACCUAUUUCUUUUGGCGUUUCAAAGCUUGUUUUGCAGGUUUAUACCUUUUUGGGGGGUUAGGCCCUAUAUCACUUCCCUCUUUUUCUUGUAUUUCUAGUUUUGUUUUCAAGAAGAAUCAUGUUUAUGUUCCCCCCUCUCGUUUUGCUACUUUUCUGCUUAAAAUGACCCGUGACUUUGUAAAUAAGCAAACUUACCAAACACAAAUUUUACUCGAACGAUUUUUAUCCAUGCUUUUAAAAUAAUUUAAGUAGUACCAAACCUUACCUUAAUUGUUUUUUAUUGACAAAUGAUAUUAUCUACAGUAAGGAGUUAAGAGAUCGAGCUAAGCCUCACAUUGAGCUAGUAAUAAUGUGCUUCAAAUUUAUCUUUGGUGAGAAUCGAACCUAAGAGAUCUCACUUACAAGUGAAGAGAAAUACCACUAGCUAGACAAUCAUACUAAGUGCCAUUUAUUUUAGGGGUUCAAACAUAUAAAAAAAAGAAGAAAAGCAUUAGGUUUUUCAAAUCAUAACUAAUGUCUGAGGCCAAACGAAUCAAUAAUGUAAAAAUAUCGGACCUAAUGAACUAAAACAUAAAAAUUACAUACGCACCAAAUUGACUGUAGCGAAUCUACUGAACCUAAUGAACUAAAACAUGAAAAAUACAAACUAUACCAAAUAUACUAGAUCUAAUGAACUAAAACAUAAAAAAUAUGAACCAUACCAAAUUGAUCGUACCGAAUUUACCAGACCUAAUGAACUAAAACAUAAAACAUAUGAGCCGUACCAAAUUGGUCGUACCGAAUUUAUGGGACCUAAACUAUAUAACGAACCAAAUUGAAGUCACAACAUAAUAGACCCUACAAAACUUCGGACCUAAACUAGUACAACGUACCUAAUUGUUAUUUACAAAAUAUAACCAAACGUACCUGAUCAACCAACAGAACCAAACAAUGAAAUUCCCCACAUAGGCCUUUCAAUAAACCCAUGGUAUGCAUUGUAAGGUAAUGUUGUCUCUGCCAAGACAAUUUUUGGAUGUAAAUUAGUGCAUUCUCCACAUAAUAUCAUUAUGAGAGCUUUCAAAAGUAUGGUAAUGGAACUGGUUAUACAAUAUUUCAAAUUUGCAUAAUUAUAAAAAAAAUGGUACGUUAUAGACAAAAAAGAUGACAUUCUUGUAGAAAAUGAAGAUUGAUGUUACGUUUAUAGGUGAUAUUGAAUCUACAGUUACAUUUUUAAAACUUUGAUGGUGGUGGUUACGUUGCAAACAAUAUAACCCGAAUAUCUAUGAAUUUGAUAUGAUAUUCAAUCAUAAACUAACUAAAAAGAAUUAGGUGAUUGUUCUUUGUAUAAAAGUAAUCGAAUGUUGUUUCAUUUUUUGAGAUUAAAAUCAAAUACAAUAUUACACUUGAAUCAUAACUCCAUAUUGCAAAUAAAUACUGCUUUUGUAUGAGCAAAAGAAAAAACGAAAGCCACACGGCUGAAUAAACAGAAAAAAAAAAAAGGAGAGGACAGAAAAUUUGUUUCCCUACUUUUAGCAUGCAGAAUCAUAUGUAGAUCUAUGGUUUUAGUUAUAGGCAUCAGGGUUGGCCACAAGGUAGUUCUCAAUGAGCUUGAACAAACCAUGGGCCCUUUCUUUCCCAACCUUAACAUGCUCUUCCUUAAUCUCAAUAUCUCCAUUGGUGUGGUAGUGGCUAGUGCUUUUGAUGAUGGAACCGCUGCCGGAAGCCACCAACUUAGUCUCAUAAGAGAUCUUCUCAAUCUUAUCAGAAAUGACAUCUCCUUCAAUCAAACUGUAGUUGUAGACAAAGUUAUCCUUGUCAAUUCCAUCAACCUUGUGCUUCACAUAGCUGUAUUCACUUCCUUCACCAAAACUUAUCUUCUUGAUGGUUCCAACACCUCCAUCUCCCUCAAGAAUUUCAGCAGUUUUAACUGCUUGUGGAGCAAUCUUUGGGAUAAGGUUGUCAGCAUCAAGAACAAGAGCAUUGUACAACCUAGCAGGAGCGCAGACUGAGGCGAAUUCAGUUUCAUAUGUGAAGACACCCAUGGUGAUGAUUGAGAGCUUAGAAACUGAUCAAAGUAAGAAUGAAAUGUGAAGGAAGAAAAGAGAAAUUGAUAAUGAAGGUAUUUGAUGGUGGAAGAUAUGGAGGUGGUAUUUAUAGGUUAUUGGUGAGGGGCUGUUGUGUAAUGUGAACCCCUAUGGAUAGAGAAAAUUGGACAGUAUUUAGUUUCCCAUUGUGAACAUUUUAUUCAACGAAAGGCACCUCUAGAAGUUGAUUUUGUAUAUUCCAACUUAAUACAACUAGCUGGUGUGCUAAUUAAUAAUGUGGAAUUUUUUUAAUAGAAUGUUCUAACACGAGAUGAUCGGAAUAUUACAGCAGAGCUGGUGUGUUAAUUCUGUUGACUACUGACUCAAUAAUAUCUUUUUGGACUAGAAUAAAUCUAAGUUCCCUUUAUGAUUCAUUUCUUAUCUGAAGUUCUGAACUCUUUGAUCAACAUAAGGACUCCGAUGAAACUACAAUGUUGCUCGUUCCCAAGUGUUUUAUUCAAAUAGGGUCGCAUGAUUGGUUUAGAAUGUCGUCACAUUAGUGUUUCUGAAACUUCGACAUAAUAUUAAUUAAGAGCGGACUUAUUUGAAAGAGCCCGAAUAUUAGUAAGCAACCAGUCAAGUUAAUAUUUGUACAUUAUUUAAUCGACUCUAUGGCGCGAAUUUAGUUCCAUUGUACACAUGCAUGCUUAUUUCUUCUCAAGUGAGCCCAUCCUAACCCUACUCUUCUCCAACACACCCCCCAAAGUCUCUCUUUUCCGACGACGCCACCUGAAAUCGUUCUCUUCGACAACAACAUUUGUUCGAAGAUGAACGGUCAUGGGAGAGGAGAGAACGACAUCGAGAUGAGAGUAAUGGGAGUCAGAUGUUUGGUUACGUAGUUAAGGAUGUUUGGUUACAGGACUAGUGUGUAUAUCAAAUUGUUUAAAAUUGGCACAUAUUUGUAUCUUAUUAGGUCACUUAAGAGAGUGAAUAAAUUGAAUAUUUUCCGGUGAGUAUCCAAGUAUUAUCCUAUUAUUAAUUAGUUUUAUAGCAGAACUUCAAGUUCUUUCACCAUUUACAUUUUCAAAAGAUUUACAAGUAGUUUUGCUUUAAAAAAUAGAUGCAAAUUUAAAUUUGAGCCCACCAUCACUUUAUUAUCCCUCUUCCAGAAAAAAAAAAAAAAGAAAAGAGGAAAAACCAAACUUAUCUUUUGAUGUCCCUUUAAAUUUGCUCACUAAACUUUCCGACCAAAAGAAGCUCAAAACUUUAAGAAGGGCAACUUGUUCAAAGUAUUUCUGAAAGGUUCAUACCGAUCAUAAUUUGUGCCAACACUAUUACAGGUUGGAAUCAAGACUUUCAUUAAUAUUUCAUGAACAAUAUUACAAAAAUAUCAAUAUAUCUUUUAAUUUGAUUCCAAUUGUAACGUUUUAUUACUAUUUUUCUAUUAAUCAAAACAAAGCCAAAACAAAACAUUUGAACACAAACCACAAAUAUGAACAAGUUUUAAUUUAUUAAAAUGUUUUAAAAGAGUGACAUUUUAUAACCAAGGGCGAGAAAAACGCCAGAACAUACAAUAGUCCAAAGGGUAAGCUUCGACGGAGGGUCUCUGAAAAACCUUACUUGAAAAAGCCACUUGGGAAAAAUUCCAGUGAAAGAAAAGAGACCGAGCAAGCCAACAAAGACAACAACAGAACAUUUAAGUAGUUAUAGACUCCGAAAUUAAAAUAUCAACAAGCCAAGGAGGGCCUACAUCAGUCCAAAAAUCAAAGCAUUGUUCAUGAAGACCAUGUCACGCAAUCCGGUGCGCAGCCCCAUUCGCAGGUCUGGAAAUUGCCCACAGGACCAAGUAACGAUCCUGAGUUAGCUGUCGCACCACAACCACAUAGCUGUGCCUGUAGAUUAUCAACCAGUUUAUGCAAGUUCGUAAUGUACAGUUCUAUUGUUGUCCCUACUGCCUCACGACUAGUAUAUGCACUUCCAGAGGUUCAAUUUAGGAAUGACUUGACCUGCAAUUCAACAUUGGCUGCAAUGCGUCGACUUUUGAUUGGCAGUCAUUUUUCAUUGGCUUUUCACAUCUCCAAAUUUGGAAUAUUCAAUUGUAACAAAUAUUAUCCAAAUACACAGUCCUACUAUAUUAUCUUCUUCAGAUGCCCUUAUGUCCGCUACCCGUGACUAUGCCCGUUGUGAAUGUACAUAAAGUAUUAAUAGACAAUAUGAUUAGAGAUACUCCAACAAUACGUCAACAAAAGUCGGAUUAUUGAAAAGUCCAGUAAAUAUAACAGCACAGGACACAAAGUGUUAAGUUGGGGGAGAAUAUGAUCUCUAAAACACUAAUUACUUAGUGUUACGGUCUAAUAAUAUUCUUCUUUAAUUGUAAAUAAGAUAACUUAGGUUCGAACGUGUGAAUUACAAAUUUAACACCAAUUUAUUUUCUACACCCCUUAGUGUAAAAAUAUAUCUUUGUUUUAGAAAAUAUGAUGUGUGAUCUCUAAAGCACUAAUUGGUAAGCACAAGAAAAAAUUGAGGUUAGUCCAUCUCGUGGAGUAAUUGGCCAUUUCUUAUUCUAUGUCCAGAUGGUUCUUUCCUUGAUUACGAUACAAAAUUUCCUUGUACAAAAGUAAUGGUUCCCACGUCCACGAUGAAUAAAACCCAUUAAACAAUUAGGAGCUUGCGUAAACCUUUUGAUCCACCUUCUGCCUCAGCCUAUAAAUACCAAUACAUCUUCCUCACUUCUUCACAACUCAAAAUCUCCCAAUACAUCAUCUUUCUUUCUUAGACUUCCUCUUCGUCGAUUAUUUUCCCACUUCACAAACACAUCUCAGAAUCAUGGGUGUUUUCACAUACGAAUCCGAGUUCUCCUCCGUCAUCCCCCCCCCCACUAGGUUGUACAAUGUUUUUGUUCUUGAUGCUGACAACCUCAUCCCCAAGAUUGCACCACAGGCAGUGAAGAGCACUUGAGAUCCUUGAAGGAGAUGACGGCGUUGGAACCAUUAA
rnacentral:lncRNA from 1 species